UCCUACUCUCAAGCUAGCAAGAGCUUACGUAUCAAAGGUGGCAUGUGGUAUAAAAUAAAAUAAAAUUGGGAAAUGGAGGGGUGAGUGCCACAUACAGAUUCAGUCAUUUUAGUGAUCAAUUCUAAAUUUUACCAUAUAGACCAUUGUGACACUGUUUAUUUUUCUGCUCACCUGCUGUGCGCACCUCCUCAUUUAUUUGUAAACGGGAAACCCAUCUACGGACAAGAAGCUUCUGAUCUUGGUGAAGAUUUUCUACAAAGACACACCAUUUCUAGACACUGGUAAAAAUGAUUACUUCUGUCCAAUGACUGCCCAGAGGAGCAUAACAGUGCUCAUGGAAGACCCUGCCAAGAGUUUGAGAUUGUCUGGCUACACAACAAAGAAACUGGCUUGCAGGGAGACUGAAGUUAGAAAGCCUGUAAUGUAGAAGCCUGGUAAUGAGAAAAAAAACGCCAUCGCUGAAAAAAAAGUAAUUUAUUCAAGCUCUGAGGUACUUGUUUAUUUCUGUUUGACACUUUUCACAGUUUUUUCUGGUUAUUUUUCAGGGUGAUGUGAUGAAGCUUAUGUUUUGUGAUCGUGUAUGUA